CCUGAGCUAGCCUGAAGGACCUUGCGCCCACGCAGCCGCAGCWMCAGUACGYACWCAGAUGGUUUAAWCUCAUCCAGACACAUGUUAUUCKWUAAUGAUCYCUCCGGAGGUGAACCUGCGGAAGGAYUAUUAAUCGAAUAACAUGUUUCUUGGCAUGAAUUUCAAAACCCAUCUGUGUACCUUACCUGUUGCUUCCGUGCUGCGUGGGCAGCAAAGUGCACUCUCCAAGGCCUACGCUCCCAGUGAGGAGGUGACCUUGGAGUGUCGGCACGGAAGGUCUUACCGCAAACUCUUGCAUUUCCAUGUUUUCUGUCUGAACUGUCAUACAAAAUAAGUUAAAACUUUCAACAACGGAUCUCUUGGUUCUCGCAUCGAUGAAGAACGCAGCGAAAUGCGAUAAGUAGUGUGAAUUGCAGAAUUCCGUGAAUCAUCGAAUCUUUGAACGCACAUUGCGCCUCCUGGUAUUCCGGGAGGCAUGCCUGUUCGAGCGUCAUUAAAAUCAUAUCACGCAAUUUUGCAUGGUCAUGGAGGAAGAGUCCACUCGGUGUGGUCUCCCCGCCGAAAUGCAACGGCGGAAAGUCUCAGAUACUCUGCGCAGUAGUAACGUUCGCUUUGUAUCUGUAGUGGUUCCUGCCAGCAAAACCCCCACAAUUCUCUUGAUUGACCUCGGAUCAGGUAGGGAUACCCGUAMUWACAUAUCAAUAAGCGAAGGAGAGAUCAUUAAUGAAUAACAUGUUUCUGGCAUGAAUUCAAACCAUCUGUGUACCUUACUGUUGCUUCGUGCUGCGUGGGCGCAAGGGCCUCUCAGGCUCGCUCAGUGAGGAGGGUACCUGGAGGUUUU
rnacentral:rRNA from 1 species